AACUUACAAUUGUUACAAGAUAUCACAUUAUUUUUACAUCCAAUUACAUUAUUUUUACAUGCAAUUGCCCAUUAUACAGUUGGGUUUUUACUGGAGCAAUCUAGGUAAAGUACCUUGCUCAAGAGUACAGCAACAGUGUCCCCAACCGGGGAUUGAACCCACGACCCUACAGUCAAGAGUCCAGAGCCCUAACCACUACUCCACACUGCUGCCCUAGCCACACAAGUGUUUAAAUAAACACUCCCUUUAGUUAAAAUGCCUGGCCAGGUAACUUCUUAAUUAUUGUAUCUAUUUAAUUAAGGAUUCCCCUUUAAGAAGGCUGAACUCCCAUGAGCCUUUGUUCUUUUUUAAACAGGUAGAGGGUGGAAGGGAGGCAGGUUUUGUGUUCUGGGUUCCUCCAUUUUGUGUAUGGUGGUGUGGUUUGUGUGCAGGUUCUGAAUGGGUUCCAGUUGGCUUUCAGGAUUUUAUUUACAAGAAAAUUAUAUUAAAUAAGAACUAUACCUACCUUGGAGCAUCUCUUGGACAACUUGUUGCUGUUGGACUGCCACUGGAACUACAGAAUAAGCAUCAACAAACAAACAAACAAACAGUCGGGUCUGUGAGGAUGAGAAGGUCUCCACAGUCUGGAGUCUGGUCUCUGACAGGCUCAACAUACCUGUCAAUCAACAGGGACUCCUCUACAAAGGCAAGGUGCUGGCAGGUAGGCUGAACAGCACAGCACAGCACAGCACAGCACAGCACAGCACAGCUCACCCCUCCUCUCACCCCUCGCCUCAUCCCUCCUCUCACUCCUCGCCUCACCCCGGGUCAGUGUGGCACAGCCUGCCUGCUCUUCUGAACAAACACUUCAGCCCUGCCGACGCAGUGAGAGUCUGGAGCAGCAACACAAGGUCUGUGAGGAUGAGAAGGUCUCCACAGUCUGGAGUCUGAUCUCUGACAGCCUCAACAUACCUGUCAAUCAACAGGGACUCCUCUACAAAGGCAAGGCGCUGGCAGGUAGGCUGAACAGCACAGCACAGCACAGCACAGCUCACCCCUCCUCUCACCCCUCGCCUCAUCCCUCCUCUCACUCCUCGCCUCACCCCGGGUCAGUGUGGCACAGCCUGCCUGCUCUUCUAAACAAACACUUCAGCCCUGCCGACGCAGUGAGAGUCUGGAGCAGCAACACGAGGUGAUGAAGUGACACUUUGAAUAUGGGGCCUGAUGAGAGAAGUAUCCUUUUCAUGUGGUUUUGGUUUUGCCGUUGUGAGCAGGUGUGGGAGACAGCACCGUGUCUGCAUGUGAAAUAACAAAGUCAUCGCAGUGGAGGGACUCUCUGAAGGCUGCUGUUUGUGGAUUUGUCUUGUAAUGUGAGUGAUCUACUGUACUGUGAUGCCACUGGCUGUACGCAUGCUGCACUGCAGGGGAGAGACCGCUGGCAUUCACAGGGCAUGCUUGUUCAUUUAAAGCACGCUGCACUGCAGGGGAGACACCG